UUAGCUAGUUGGUGAGGUAACGGCUCACCAAGGCGACGAUGGGUAGCCGGCCUGAGAGGGUGAACGGCCACACUGGGACUGAGACACGGCCCAGACUCCUACGGGAGGCAGCAGUAGGGAAUAUUGCGCAAUGGAGGGAACUCUGACGCAGCGACGCCGCGUGGGUGAUGAAGGCCUUCGGGUUGUAAAGCCCUGUUGGGGGGGAAGAUAAUGACGGUACCCCCUGAGGAAGCCCCGGCUAACUACGUGCCAGCAGCCGCGGUAAGACGUAGGGGGCGAGCGUUGUCCGGAAUUACUGGGCGUAAAGGGCGUGUAGGCGGCUUUUCAAGUCGGCUGUGAAAUUCCCCGGCUUAACCGGGGGGGUGCAGUCGAAACUGAUGGGCUUGAGUGCAGGAGAGGGUGGUGGAAUUCCCGGUGUAGCGGUGACAUGCGUAGAUAUCGGGAGGAACACCGGUGGCGAAGGCGACCUCCUGGCCUGUUACUGACGCUGAGGCGCGAAAGCUGGGGGAGCAAACAGGAUUAGAUACCCUGGUAGUCCCAGCUGUAAACUCUGGGUACUAGGUGUGGGGGGCUUCGAUGCCCUCUGUGCCGUAGUUAAC
rnacentral:rRNA from 1 species